rnacentral:misc_RNA from 1 species
GGGGACAGGUGUGCUGCCGUUCUUCUUAUGCCAGAGAAGUAUCCGCUUGCGGGCUGCGUCGCACGCCUCUUCGUUGGUCAUAACGUCCCAGAGGCCGUCGCUGGCCAGGAUGAGGCAUUCGUCUUCUUUCAUUCGGGGAACAAUUUUGACUUCUGGGACUGGGAUAAUCCAUGGUUUCAGAUAUCUAUCCCCAAUCGACCUUGACAUUGCCAGAACACCGAACACACGGUAUCCAUUCCACUGGAUGACUCUGCCCCCCUCUGCUUCAAUCCGUGCAUAUUCAUCCUCUCUAUUUGGUUUAUGAUCCACCGAUAAAGGC